rnacentral:tRNA from 1 species
GGUUGUGGCUCAGUGGUAGAGCACUCGCAUAAUACGUGGGAGGUGCUGGGUUCCAUCCUCAGCACCA